AGGAAGCCCGGGAAGCCUCUGCCUCAGACAUGCCACUGCUGCUACUGCUGCCCCUGCUGUGGGCAGGGGCCCUGGCUAUGGAUCCAAAAAUCCGGCUGCAAGUGCAGGAGUCAGUGACGGUACAGGAGGGUUUGUGCGUCCUCGUGCCCUGCACUUUCUCCCAUCCCAUACCCUACUACAACAGGAAUUUCUCAGUUCAUGGUUACUGGUUCCGGGAAGGAGCCAUUGUAUCCAGGGACUCUCCAGUGGCCACAAACAAGCUAGAUCAAGAAGUACAGGAGGAGACUCAGGGCUGAUUCCGCCUCCUUGGGGAUCCCAGUAAGAACAACUGCUCCCUGAGCAUCGUAGACGCCAGGAGGAGGGAUAAUCGUUCAUACUUCUUUCGGAUGGAGAGAGGAAGUACCAAACACAGUUACAAAUCUCCCCAGCUCUCUGUGCAUGUGACAGCCCUGACCCACAGGCCCAGCAUCUUCAUCCCGAGGACCCUGGAAUCUGGCCACCCCAGGAACCUGACCUGCUCUGUGCCCUCGGCCUGUGAGCAGGG
rnacentral:lncRNA from 1 species